GGUGCCAGGGUUUCACCAUUGAUGAGAGGGAGGCCUUUUUCAGCGACAUGACAUACGUAACCACUUCCAUCUGAUUUUUUGGAUUCAUGCUUACAUUGCAACAGGCAACACCGCAGAAGGUUCAAACAAAAGACUUUGCUAAAUUGGAUUCAAGGCCAAAAUACGAGUUUUCAUGUGAAAGUUGGAGGUGGAAAAGUGAGAAUAGCCAAGAAUAUCUCACAUGUGUAAUCCAGUGGUCUGAAGCUCCAGAUGGCCCCACUUAAUUGUGCCUUGCUUUCUCCCCUGUCUUAACAGGGUCUUGCAGUUUGGAGCAUAGAAGCUGAGCGUAGAGACAGAGGUGAGCUCCCUGAUGAAGCAAUCUUUCUCAC
rnacentral:lncRNA from 1 species